AUUGAACGCUGGCGGCAGGCUUAACACAUGCAAGUCGAGCGAGCGGCGGACGUGUGAGUAAUGUCUGUGACACUGCCUGUUGGAGGGGGAUACCUACUGGAACCGGUAGCUAAUCCCGCAUACCAUCAGAUGUGCCCAGAUGGGCUUUGCUUUUAGGUGGGGUAAUGGCGCACCUAGGCGACGAUCCCUAGCGGGUCUGAGAGGAUGACCAGCAACACUGGAACGGGGACACGGUCAAGACGCCUACGGGAGGCAGCAGUGGGGAAUAUUGCAAAAGGGGCGCAAGCCUGAUGCAGCCAUGCCGCGUGGGUGAAGAAGGCCUUCGGGUGGUAAAGCACUUUCAGCGAGGAGGCGUUACUCGCAGAAGAAGCACCGGCUAACUCCGUGCCAGCCGCCGCGGUAAUAC
rnacentral:rRNA from 1 species